rnacentral:rRNA from 1 species
AUGACUUUUCUCAGACUGCAUAGCGCCUCAGAGGUGCUAAGCCAAGAGGAGGAAACAUCAUUGUCUAAAUCAAUGAAAGUGUGGCGCGAUUCAAAUGAAACCACAGGUUGUCCAUUUUUUUGGGUCCAUAUAUACUCAGAUUCUUCUGUUGUUAUAAGACAACUUAAGUGCUGGAAAGGUUAUUCGGGCGAUCACCAAAAGCUCCUGUUUGGAUUUUAUGAUCAUGGUCAUCAAGAUUACCCUGGCUGGGCUCUUAGAAACUACAUUGCAUUCCUGAGCCUGCGGUGGAAAAUCGAGAAAGUUCAGUUCUUGUGCUACAGAGAAAGACGUGGGGAACCUGAUCUAGAGAAGUCCCUUAUUGGUGAAGCAUCAUUUGCAGCACCUCAUGGCUGGGAUGGCUCUGAUUAUGUGCCUGAAAUUAUUGGAUGGGAAGGAGAAAAGGCUGGGGAUCGAAAGAAAGAAAAGAUACUGAAACCCAUUGAUCUUGACUCACUGAAUCCAGCAAGCCAGGAUGAAGAAAAACAGGUGAUGCACUUGAAGCUUAUGGGAUGGCGACAUCCCUCUCUUGUUUUAAACAAGUUGCGUAGCGCUCGAUGCCUUGUGUUGGGUGCUGGAGCUCUUGGCUGUGAAGUUUCCCGCUUACUCAUGACCUGGGGUGUACGGAAACUAACAGUGGUUGAUGGUGGUUGUGUUGCCAUUCCUGAUAUAGUCAAACAAUCACUCUACGUAGAUAAUGAUUGUGGUGUCCCAAGAGCCACCGCGAUAGUUCCACAUCUAAAAGAGAGAUGUCCUGCAGUGGAGGUUGAAGGCAUACAGAUGGAAAUACCAGUGCCUGGGAAUCCGGUUUCUAAAACCAAAAUGUCAAGUGUGCUUGAUAAUUGCAAGCGUCUUCAAGCAUUAGUAGCUUCCAGUGAUGUGGUCUUCUUGUUGACUGACACAUGGGAGAGUAGAUGGUUUCCAACUCUACUGUGUGCAAACGAAAAUAAGAUCGCUAUCACUGCAGCAUCAGGAUAUGACAGUUACCUUGUCAUGCGGCAUGGUGCUGGUCCAGGACAUAAUUUAUCUACCGAAGAUGCUCUUGGUCACCAAAGAUUAGGCUGUUGUUUCUGCAACGACUCGACUUCUUUUGUCAAUUUAGUCCUUAAUGAAACAGUAGCCCUGCCUGGGUUGACCUCGAUUGCAUCUGGCAAAGCAGUGGAGCUCUUUGCGAGGAUAUUACAUCAUGAAGAGGGGAUACAUGCUCCAGGAGAUAUUGCUGGUAUGGACACUGAACAUUGGCUUGGUUUAUUGCCGCAUCAGAUGCAAGGAUCACUCCCAGAGUGUGCUUUAUCAACUGUGAUAGGCAAUUCCUCAAACGAUUGUAAUGCAUGUUCCAAUGGUGUAUUGUCUGAAUAUAGAAGAGAAGGAUUGGAUUUUAUUAUGAAAGCCAUCAACCAACCAACAUAUUUAAAGGACCUUACAGGUGUUUCUAAUAAUGUGAUUAAGCUGGACACUUGUUUGACAUUGCCUGUCAGCUUCCCUGUAAAUUCUGGGAAGUUGUCUAGUGUUUGA